rnacentral:sRNA from 1 species
UAUACUCUUUCUUGGCUGUCUCUUGUUCCUCUCCUUUCGUUUGCCAAAUCUUAUCCGCUGGC